AGUACUUUUACUAACUUAACUAUAUGAGUGAAUAACCUCAUAACACCAUCUACUACUCUACUAAUAUCUUUGCACAAUGUUCAGAGCUCUGAGUCAUCCUAGAAAAUUUUGUUGAGAUUUGACCAAUCUUUAACCACAAUCUACGAGAUUAACUAAGGCCCAUGGGUACCUUCAAAAUUUUCAUCCUGCAUGGCAUAACAGCUUGGAAACAAUUUUGGUCAAUUAUACAGAUUAGGCGAUCUACUAGCUUCCAGUGUUCCCAAGAUUCAUCAGUUUUGUAGUUGGAAUGAGGAAGAAGCUAAGAGACCAGGAAUAGAAUGAGUACCUGCAGGAGCAGAUGGAGAUGGGCCAAACAUUAGUGGCAAUUUUGCAGCAUUGAUAUGGGAGGAAGUUGAGCCUUGUAUUACCCUGCCAAACAACUGCUGUGCAGUGCUUUUUGACCCCAAUCGAAUCUUCCUCCAAAUAUGUAUAUCCAAAGAAACUGGUAUAGUAGGAAUGUGUGUUCGUGUCCUAUCCAAUUCGGUGUAUUUAAUUUGAUCAUAUGAC
rnacentral:lncRNA from 1 species